GCCCGGUUCGUCUAAUAGGUUAGGAUGUCACCCUUUCAAGGUGAGGACGUGGGGUUCAAAUCCCCCAUCGGGUG
rnacentral:tRNA from 1 species